GUCUGGUGCCAGCAGCCGCGGUAAUUCCAGCUCCAAUAGCGUAUAUUAAAGUUGUUGCAGUUAAAAAGCUCGUAGUUGAAUUUCGGGAUCAAUAUUUCGGUCAUGCCGUUGGUAUGCACUGUUAUCAUUGAUUUCUCACCUUCUAAAGAACCGUAAUGCCAUUAAUUUGGUGUUACGGGGAAUUAGGACUGUUACCUUGAAAAAAUUAGAGUGUUUAAAGCAGGCUCACGCUUGAAUACAUUAGCAUGGAAUAAUGAAAUAGGUCAUCCGAUUCUAUUUUGUUGGUUUCUAGGAUCGAUGUAAUGAUUAAUAGGGAUAGUUGGGGGCAUUAGUAUUCAAUUGUCAGAGGUGAAAUUCUUGGAUUUAUUGAAGACUAACUACUGCGAAAGCAUUUGCCAAGGUUGUUUUCAUUAAUCAAGAACGAAAGUUAGGGGAUCGAAGACGAUCAGAUACCGUCGUAGUCUUAACCAUAAACUAUGCCGACUAGGGAUCGGAUGAUGUUAAUUUUUUAAUGACUCAUUCGGCGCCUUACGGGAAA
rnacentral:rRNA from 1 species